AGUGAACGCUGGCGGUAUGCCUAACACAUGCAAGUCGAACGGCAACACAUUAAGUGCUUGCUCUGACGGGUUGCGAGGUGCGGACGGGUGAGGAGUAGAGCAGAAUCUACGUUUUCGUGCGUGAUAAGGUAGGUAAACUUACGCUAAUACCGCAUACGCCCUACGGGUGAAAGCAGGGGAACUUCGCGCCUUGCGCGACUGAGUGAGCCGAUGUCGGAUUAGCUAGUUGGCGGGGUAAAGGCCCAACAAGGCGACGAUCCGUAGCUGGUCUGAGAGGAUGAGUAGCCACACUGGAAGUGAGACACGGUCGAGACUCCUACGCGAGGAAGCAGUGGGGAAUAUUGGGCAAUGGGGGAAAGCCGGAUCCAGCAAUACGGCGUGAGUGAAGAAGGCGCGAGGGUGGGAAAGCGCUUUUGUUGGGAAGGAAAAGCAGCAGGUUAAUACCCCGAGGUAGUGACGGUACCCAAAGAAUAAGCACCGGCUAACUUCGUG
rnacentral:rRNA from 1 species